CCUAUGGGUUGGGGGGAUGUGUGCUCGCUAAGACAUCGCGUCUUAUGCCUACGUAUCUCAUCUGGAAUGAGAAUCAGAGCAAGCCGUAGUUCGGCUAACUACGGGGUUAUGGAUUGGGUUUUGGACGAACGACGUCACUACGCAAUCUACCGGAUGCUCGACCUUUGGAGACUUACUCGCCUGUAGUAGAAGGAGUAAACGUGUUAGGAGAAGAAAAAUCAAUAAAGGGUUAGGGUUUGGGAUGCUCAUGCAAAAAGGGAAAUCCUAGACGAAGGAACCUGCAUAAAGUAAACACACAAAAACAUUGCCUCCUAUCGAGGUCUUCCAGCUAGGAAAGCAGUAAAAGGCGGGAAAAAUAUAAAAGUACCACACGGAUAAAGAUCUGAAGUAACAGUAAUUAACGGAACAAGGAAACCCUGAGAUCCUCCCAAGCUAACACCGUCAAAGAAAGUGAGUCAGUACAGGUAAUCGGAAUGAAACCUCAGGUGGUAUCCCAUAAAUAAAGUGGAA
rnacentral:lncRNA from 1 species